rnacentral:lncRNA from 1 species
AGGUCCGGCCCCGAAGCCCGGAAGCGCUGUGGCUGGUUGACUCGGUACGGAGACCAGGACUCGAUGGGUGAGAAGCGUCAGUGGUUUGGAGUUCAAGGGCUGGGAGAGAAGCAAUGGCAUUCUGAGCCUCUUCUCUUUUGUCUUGCUUAACUACUGAUUAUGGCCUGGAGAGAUGGCUCGACGGUAACGGCGCUGGCUCGCGAGGCUGACGACCUAAGUUAUAUCCCCUUACCCAGGUCGUGGCAGAAAGAAAUCAGACUUACGCAAGUUGUCCUCUGAUCCUCACAUCAGGGCUACAAAUAUGCAUACAGCCUCGAACUUCCACGCGUAUGCUGUGGCAUGAGCGCACUUCACCUCCACACGUUUACACACACACACACACACACACUCGCAAGCACAAAUAAAAUGAUUGAUAAAUAAAUAAAUAAAUAAAUAAAUGCCAGACGUG